GAUGUUGCGCCAGAAUGAAUGGAUAACACUGAUGACGUUAAAUAUGGGACCCAACCCCGACAUCU
rnacentral:tRNA from 1 species